GAUGAACGCUGGCGGCGUGCCUAAUACAUGCAAGUAGAACGCUGAAGGAGGAGCUUGCUCUUCUGGAUGAGUUGCGAACGGGUGAGUAACGCGUAGGUAACCUGCCUGGUAGCGGGGGAUAACUAUUGGAAACGAUAGCUAAUACCGCAUGACAACAGUUAUUGCAUGAUAACUGUUUAAAAGGGGCAACUGCUCCACUACCAGAUGGACCUGCGUUGUAUUAGCUAGUUGGUGAGGUAACGGCUCACCAAGGCGACGAUACAUAGCCGACCUGAGUGGGGGAUCAGCCACAAUGGGACUGAGACACGGCCCAGACGCCUACGGGAGGCAGCAGUAGGGAAUCUUCGGCAAUGGACGGAAGUCUGACCGAGCAACGCCGCGUGAGUGAAGAAGGUUUUCGGAUCGUAAAGCUCUGUUGUAAGAGAAGAACGAGUGUGAGAGUGGAAAGUUCACACUGUGACGGUAUCUUACCAGAAAGGGACGGCUAACUACGUG
rnacentral:rRNA from 1 species